GUGCUCACUUCAGCAGCACAUAUACUAAAAUUGGAAUGAUACAGAGAAGAUUAGUAUGGCCCCUGUGCUAGGAUGACACGCAAAAAAUCCCCUUCUGUAAAUUUUG